UUGAAUGUGUCUUUAUCGUAUAGGUAUCUUUAAAUGGUCAGUAGAAUGGCCAUUUGGAAAGGCAAAAAGUGUAUUUGAGUCUGUAUCACUUUUCUUUACAUCUUUCUGAUUGUUCAGAUACUUUGAUUUCUGUGACUCAAGGCCUCCGGUUUAUCAUAGCAUUUCCCACACUUUGCUUCAUAAAAGAACCCCAUGGCCUGUAAUUAAUGAGAUGCUAUAAUUGUAACCACUUUGCUCAUGAAACUGCUCUAUUUUUACUUGGCUCUCGACAUUCAAACUUGCUAACACGCUGACGUAUAUUUUUUACGCCAUUUUACUAACUUAGCAUCUUGACCAUGCAGGCUAAAUAGCACAUACACUUCCCUAGCUUGGAUGAAUGCUGUUUAGGGAGAAAAAAAAUAUAUCUUAAUCACCUUUCAGGUUUUCUUUGUUAUUAUUAGGUUACUGGGGCUUUUUUUCAGUCAGUUUGAUUGGAAGUUUAAAUAUAUUGCUCUUUUGGCAUUGUUGUUGCUGGCACUCCAUGGCAGCAACCAGGCUGAUUCUUCACCCCAGUUUCCCAGGUGAGCACAGCAGUGCCUUGCUCAUACAGGUGAGUGUGACCCUGCAAAGACACAACCAUGCUGCAAUUCCAGAGCAGAAAGGUCCCAAGCCAGUGAUUUCUCUCAUUCCUGGCUCAAAGUAACAGGAUUUGAAAAGCACUAGUACAAAAGGGCAACAGUUUUCAUGUCUUUCAGCAAUGAAUUGUAGCUCUUGAAAAGUAUUCAAAACUCAGAGCUGGGUGUUAUGGUAAUUGUCUGAUGACUAAUGAAGGACAAAUGCCUCGAUAAUUAGGAUAAUUAAAGUCUGAAAGGCUCUGGGUUAGAUUUUAGAAACAUCAUUCACUCCUGUAAUUUUUUUCCUUCUGUUUGCUUACUCAAUUUAUCUUUUAAUGGUUUAUUUUAAUCUCUGUUUUGCCAUUUUACCUAUAGUUUUUAUAUAACGUAAACAUGUGCAGCAAUUUUCUUCAACAGUUUAUGAGUUGUAUGACUCAGAAGUCCCUGAAGUCCCAGUUCAGAACUUUGCUGCUCCGUGACUGCAUUACAUCUCACUGCCUUCACCUUCACCAGGGACCUUUCAAACACAUGGCUAAUGGCCCCAGAAUCUUCCGCUCUUUCUACAGGGCUUCUGCAAGGUCCAUGGCAAACCUUGGGAUGAAGGGAAAAAAGGAAACAUGCAACCUCUUACCUCCAAUAUCUUCUUGGAUGGGGGUUGUGCAUUUGUUGGCAGUUCCCUGUUGUAGUCCUGCAAGGUGUUAAGCAGCUUUUGAUUCUCUUGAGGCUGGUAGAUGCUGGGAGCACUUGGGAGCGCUGAGACGUGGAUGGCAUCAAGUCAGAUCCACUUCAUGAAGCCUACAGAAAGGAGGCCAGCCCGUCACAAGCUCUGUUCACAUAAUCUACAGCUUUGAUUGCUGCGGAUGAAGACCUGAAUGAGGCUUUUUUCACAUCGAAUUUCUUUCCAGUUUUCAAUUUAAAUUGAACAAUCAGCACUUCAGGAGAAGCUCCAAGUUUCUCAUUCCUUUGACAUUGGCACAAUAAGCUGGCUUAGGAUCGAGUCCUGCAAAGAGUCCUGGAGGAAAUUCCAGUCUGGUGCACAGCCAAAGGAGGUAUGGACUGCCAGUCUGUGGACAUAAUUUUUGCACAGUGGGAGUCAAAAUACAACUGUUUAGAAAUAAAGUAGGGAAGUCAUUACCAGGAGCUGGGAUAAUCAUACUCACCCUGGUGGUUUGCAUCUAAGCAUUUACAUUUGGAUGAAAUUAGUAGAGGUCCUACCAUGUUGUUGGUGAUGUUUUAAAAUGCUACCUUCAUCUGCAGUCCUUGCCUGAGCCUGGUACCUGUAGCAUUAGGAUUUGCACAAAAAUAAUAUGGUGUUGAAAUACUGGGUUUACCUUACUUGUCAGUCAAAAUCACGUUGCCACCAUCAUAAUACCUGCCAGUCCCUCUUCAUACUUAUCUGUUGCCCCCAGAGUUAAUUGCAGAACACCCCAUGAGGACUCACUGGCACAGAAUAAGAGUGACAAAAUGACCUCUGUCUGCCUGCAGACCAUAUCGUGUUCAAUAAAUUUUAUUUUCCACUGUAUCUUCCAGUUCUUAGUGCUUGUGACUGUGUGGGAUUGGAUAUGAGUGGAGGCAAUGUGUUUUUUUAUU